rnacentral:rRNA from 1 species
GACGAACGCUGGCGGCGUGCUUAACACAUGCAAGUCGAACGGAAAGGCCCUGCUUUUGUGGGGUGCUCGAGUGGCGAACGGGUGAGUAACACGUGAGUAACCUGCCCUUGACUUUGGGAUAACUUCAGGAAACUGGGGCUAAUACCGGAUAGGAGCUCCUGCUGCAUGGUGGGGGUUGGAAAGUUUCGGCGGUUGGGGAUGGACUCGCGGCUUAUCAGCUUGUUUGUGGGGUAGUGGCUUACCAAGGCUUUGACGGGUAGCCGGCCUGAGAGGGUGACCGGCGACAUUGGGACUGAGAUACGGCGCAGACUGCUACGGGAGGCAGCAGUGGGGAAUAGUGCACAAUGGGCGGAAGCCUGAUGCAGCAACGCCGCGUGCGGGAUGACGGCCUUCGGGUUGUAAACCGAUUUCGCCUGUGACGAAGCGUGAGUGACGGUAAUGGGUAAAGAAGCACCGGCUAACUACGUG